rnacentral:rRNA from 1 species
UACGUAGGGUGCGAGCGUAAUCGGAAUUACUGGGCGUAAAGGGUGCGCAGGUGGCCAAGUGUGUUAGGCGUGAAAGCCCGGGGCUUAACCCCGGAAUUGCACCUAAAACUACUUGGCUAGAGCAUUGGAGAGGGGAGCAGAAUUCCUGGUGUAGCGGUGAAAUGCGCAGAUAUCAGGAGGAACACCGGUGGCGAAGGCGGAUCUCUGGGCCUUACCUGACGCUCAGGUGCGAAAGCUAGGGGAGCGAACAGG